rnacentral:RNase_P_RNA from 1 species
UGGGCUGGCCGGGCGACCGCGUCGUCUCCCUCGGGAGGCGCCGAGGAAGGUCCGGGCUCCACAGGGCGAGGUGGUGGGCAACACCCACCCGGGGUGACCCGCGGGACAGUGCCACAGAAAACAGACCGCCUCCCGGCUGAGCCUCGGCGAGGCAGGGCGGUAAGGGUGAAACGGUGGUGCAAGAGACCACCAGCGGCCCGGGCGACCGGGCCGGCUCGGCAAACCCCACCUGGAGCAAGGUCAAGAAGCUCCGCGCCUCCGGGCGCGGUGCGCGUGCACGUUCGAGGGCUGCCCGCCCGAGUGCACGGGUAGACCGCUGGAGGCUGUCGGCAACGGCAGCCGUAGAUGGAUGGUCGCCCCCGGGACGCCCGCAAGGGCCCCCGGGACAGAACCCGGCCUACAGGCCAGCCCGUCCG